rnacentral:rRNA from 1 species
AACAGAGGGUGCAAGCGUUGUUCGGAAUUAUUGGGCGUAAAGGGCGCGUAGGCGGCUUCGUAAGUCGGGUGUGAAAUCCCGGGGCUUAACCCCGGAAGUGCGCCCGAUACUGCGAGGCUUGAGUCCCGGAGAGGGUGGUGGAGUUCCCAGUGUAGAGGUGAAAUUCGUAGAUAUUGGGAGGAAUACCGGUGGCGAAGGCGACCACCUGGACGGUGACUGACGCUGAGGCGCGAAAGCGUGGGGAG